rnacentral:rRNA from 1 species
UACAGAGGGGGCAAGCGUUAUUCGGAAUUAUUGGGCGUAAAGGGCGCGUAGGCGGUUCUUCAAGUCUCUCGUGAAAUCCCUCGGCUUAACUGAGGACGUGCGGGAGAUACUGAAGGGCUUGAGUCCGGAAGAGGGUGGUGGAAUUCCCAGUGUAGCGGUGAAAUGCGUAGAUAUUGGGAGGAACACCAGUGGCGAAGGCGGCUCACUGGACCGGUACUGACGCUGAUGCGCGAAAGCGUGGGGAGCAAACGGG